GGUUGUAUAGUGUAGCGGUUAGCACGUGGGAUUUUGAUUCCCGAGUCCUGGGUUCGAGCCCCAGUACGACCU
rnacentral:tRNA from 1 species